rnacentral:misc_RNA from 1 species
AAAGUCGUAACAAGGUUUCCGUAGGUGAACCUGCGGAAGGAUCAUCGUUGGUGUUUUUUGGAUGUGGGUACUUUUUUUUCCUUUUUAAAUCCCAACCAAGAGGAGAGGAGUUGACUGAGGCUUGUGUGGAGGGAGAAGAUACAAAACUUUCAACAACGGAUCUCUUGGCUCUC